rnacentral:rRNA from 1 species
GACAGAGGGUGCAAACGUUGUUCGGAAUUACUGGGCGUAAAGCGCGUGUAGGCGGCUAAGUAAGUCGGGCGUGAAAUCCCACGGCUCAACCGUGGAAGUGCACUCGAAACUGCAUAGCUAGAGUCCUGGAGAGGAAGGUGGAAUGCUUGGUGUAGAGGUGAAAUUCGUAGAUAUCAAGCGGAACACCGGUGGCGAAGGCGGCCUUCUGGACAGUGACUGACGCUGAGAUGCGAAAGCGUGGGGAGCAAACAGG